rnacentral:lncRNA from 1 species
CCUGGAAUGGGAUAUGGAAGAGGAUGGACAAAGAUAACUAAUUCAGGUCCUUGAUUUUCUGAAGUGCAUUAGAAGAAAUGCAGGCAGAGAGCUCCCUGCCAGGAAGUCAUCUGAGGAAAGCCUUCCGUAUUGCUUACUUCCUCAAGCAUAGGUGGACGCGCAGGAGUGUUUCCCGUUUGCUGGUCCCAGACAUCAGCACAAAUAAAUGAAGCCAACCAAAGGACUCUGGGACCCUGGACAGUUCCUAAGUGCUUAGAGGGUCAUCUGGUCAUGGACCUGUCCCAGGGUCCUGUUGAUAUAAUUGCUUUAAAUUGCUUCCAAAGCCAAAGGACCUGGAAAAAAUAGAGACAAGGCCUUGCUCUGUCACCCAGACUACAGUGCAGUGGCAUGAUCAUAGCUCACUGCAGCCUCGACCUCCUGGGCUCAAGCAAUCCUCCUGCCUUAGCCUCCUGAGCAGCUGGGACUGCAGGCGCAUGCCACCACACCCAACUAAUAUUUAAAUUAUUUGCAGAAACAGGGUCUUGCUAUGUUGCCCAGGCUGGUCUCAAAUUCCUGGCC